rnacentral:rRNA from 1 species
AUUGAACGCUGGCGGCAGGCCUAACACAUGCAAGUCGAACGGAGGGGGAGACGCGUGCGGAAUGACUAUGAAUCUGCCUGGGAGCGGUGGAGAAGGUUCGGAAACGGGAGCUAAUACCACAUACUAUCAGAAUAGCCUAGGUCGGAUUAGCGAGUUGGUGGGGUAAAGGUCUACCAAGGCGACGAUCCGUAUCUGGUCUGAGAGGAUGAUCAGUCACACUGGAACUGAGACACGGUCCAGACUCCUACGGGAGGCAGCAGUGGGGAAUAUUGGACAAUGGGCGAAAGCCUGAUCCAGCCAUGCCGCGUGUGUGAAGAAGGCCUUCGGUUUGUAAAGCACUUUAAGUUGGGAGGCGUUACCAGCAGAAUAAGCACCGGCUAACUCCGUGCCAGCAGCCGCGGUAAUUC